rnacentral:rRNA from 1 species
UACGAAGGGUGCAAGCGUUACUCGGAAUUACUGGGCGUAAAGCGUGCGUAGGUGGUUCGUUAAGUCUGAUGUGAAAGCCCUGGGCUCAACCUGGGAAUGGCAUUGGAAACUGGCGAUCUAGAGUGCGGUAGAGGGUAGUGGAAUUCCCGGUGUAGCAGUGGAAUGCGUAGAGAUCCGGAGGAACACCAAUAGCGAAGGCGGCAUCCUGGACCGGUAUUGACGCUGAGGCGCGAAAGCUAGGGUAGCAAACGGG